GACGAACGCUGGCGGCGCGCCUAACACAUGCAAGUCGAACGAGCGAGAGAGAGCUUGCUUUCUCGAGCGAGUGGCGAACGGGUGAGUAACGCGUGAGGAACCUGCCUCAAAGAGGGGGACAACAGUUGGAAACGACUGCUAAUACCGCAUAAGCCCACGGCUCGGCAUCGAGCAGAGGGAAAAGGAGCAAUCCGCUUUGAGAUGGCCUCGCGUCCGAUUAGCUAGUUGGUGAGGUAACGGCCCACCAAGGCAACAAUCGGUAGCCGGACUGAGAGGUUGAACGGCCACAUUGGGACUGAGACACGGCCCAGACUCCUACGGGAGGCAGCAGUGGGGAAUAUUGCACAAUGGGGGAAACCCUGAUGCAGCGACGCCGCGUGGAGGAAGAAGGUCUUCGGAUUGUAAACUCCUGUUGUUGGGGAAGAUAAUGACGGUACCCAACAAGGAAGUGACGGCUAACUACGUGCCAGCAGCCGCGGUAAAACGUAGGUCACAAGCGUUGUCCGGAAUUACUGGGUGUAAAGGGAGCGCAGGCGGGAAGACAAGUUGGAAGUGAAAUCUAUGGGCUCAACCCAUAAACUGCUUUCAAAACUGUUUUUCUUGAGUAGUGCAGAGGUAGGCGGAAUUCCCGGUGUAGCGGUGGAAUGCGUAGAUAUCGGGAGGAACACCAGUGGCGGAGGCGGCCUACUGGGCACCAACUGACGCUGAGGCUCGAAAGUGUGGGUAGCAAACAGGAUUAGAUACCCUGGUAGUCCACACCGUAAACGAUGAUUACUAGGUGUUGGAGGAUUGACCCCUUCAGUGCCGCAGUUAACACAAUAAGUAAUCCACCUGGGGAGUACGACCGCAAGGUUGAAACUCAAAGGAAUUGACGGGGGCCCGCACAAGCAGUGGAGUAUGUGGUUUAAUUCGACGCAACGCGAAGAACCUUACCAAGUCUUGACAUCCCUUGACAGGCAUAGAAAUAUGUUUUCUCUUCGGAGCAAGGAGACAGGUGGUGCAUGGUUGUCGUCAGCUCGUGUCGUGAGAUGUUGGGUUAAGUCCCGCAACGAGCGCAACCCUUAUGGUCAGUUACUACGCAAGAGGACUCUGGCCAGACUGCCGUUGACAAAACGGAGGAAGGUGGGGAUGACGUCAAAUCAUCAUGCCCUUUAUGACUUGGGCUACACACGUACUACAAUGGCGUUAAACAAAGAGAAGCAAGACCGCGAGGUGGAGCAAAACUCAGAAACAACGUCCCAGUUCGGACUGCAGGCUGCAACUCGCCUGCACGAAGUCGGAAUUGCUAGUAAUCGUGGAUCAGCAUGCCACGGUGAAUACGUUCCCGGGCCU
rnacentral:rRNA from 1 species